CAUUUUUCCGUCGCCAUUUCGUACGUAUUUUUGUUAGUUGUCUCCCGUCAAGUUGGUUCUUUAUUUUAUGUUCCGGCCUCUGCACGUGCGUUUGUUUGCUCGGACAGCUGGAGCGUAAGAUGUCUCACGUCCUUGCGAAGUGAGUUGACGAUAACAAGUGGGACGUGUAUCCCGUGAAUGCUUUGGCCGACACGGAUGUGGCCUUCCGUCUCAUAUCGCAGCAGGGGUCAAUUAAAGAAGUAUUCAACUCAUCAGUUGGAAAGAAGGAGCGCCACCGGACCCGGCAGUACUCCUUGCCUUCGAUAUCAACCCAUGCAGCACCUGUACUGUUCAGGUAAAGGCACUUCAAGAAGAAAAUCGGGAAUUAAAAGAUGAAGUGGAACAUAUGAAGCGGAUGGCUGAAAAACACGAUUACAUUUAUGGAAGCCUCUUGGCGCCAAAGACGGAAUGCAUGGAUACGAGCGCUCCUGUGCCAAUAAAUAGAGGUGGACAUUGGGGCCGGUGUGAAUGUUGAACAAGGCACCCUAGAGAGGCUAUGCUGAGCAUGCGAAAGUGGCCUUGGCAAAUUUGCCAGGGCUCUUUUGUGGAAUGUAUUCACCCCUGAGGAGCUACGGGACGAACCGCUCCUGGGUGAGAAGAGCAACUUGCACUUAAACCAGCCAUUCAAGGAGGCCUUGGACCCUAUUCGUAUCCGAGCUGUGAUUGACUACACAUGCUCCAAGUUUCCCUCUACCAGCCUCUCCUACAUAAAGAACAUCAUCUCCCCAGUACUGGCAAGAGAAAUGAAAGAGCCUGAAGCUAAAUAAAUUUGUGGCCUAUUGUAUAAAAGGAAUGAUUCACAUGCUUUUUGUUAAUCACGAAGUUGUUUCUUUUCAUAACACCACAGGGAAAGAGGCCUUGCAAUGGAAAGCUAGAAAAUGCACCUUGAAGAUGUCCCGAGGCCAAGCCAUGCCUCAAUGGCGAAUAUCAACAUUAGUUAAUUUCAUGUUGCAUUGCACCUUACAAUCCAUAAAUUUAAUAUUGCAUUCCACUUGAAAAUCCAUAAACUUAAUGUUGCAUUCCACUUGAAAAUCCAUAAACUUAUUGUUGCAUUCCACUUGAAAAUCCAUAAACUUAUUGU